rnacentral:rRNA from 1 species
AUUGAACGCUGGCGGCAGGCCUAACACAUGCAAGUCGAGCGGAUGAGGGUAGCUUGCUACCUGAUUCAGCGGCGGACGGGUGAGUAAUGCCUAGGAAUCUGCCUGGUAGUGGGGGAUAACGUCCGGAAACGGGCGCUAAUACCGCAUACGUCCUACGGGAGAAAGCAGGGGACCUUCGGGCCUUGCGCUAUCAGAUGAGCCUAGGUCGGAUUAGCUAGUUGGCGGGGUAAAGGCCCACCAAGGCGACGAUCCGUAACUGGUCUGAGAGGAUGAUCAGUCACACUGGAACUGAGACACGGUCCAGACUCCUACGGGAGGCAG